rnacentral:rRNA from 1 species
CCUACGGGGGGCAGCAGUGGGGAAUAUUGGACAAUGGGGGGAACCCUGAUCCAGCCAUGCCGCGUGUGUGAAGAAGGCCCUCGGGUUGUAAAGCACUUUCAGUGAGGAAGAACGCCUGGUGGUUAAUACCCAUCAGGAAAGACAUCACUCACAGAAGAAGCACCGGCUAACCUCCGUGCCAGCAGCCGCGGUAAUACGGAGGGUGCGAGCGUUAAUCGGAAUUACUGGGCGUAAAGCGCGCGUAGGUGGCUUGAUAAGCCGGUUGUGAAAGCCCCGGGCUCAACCUGGGAACGGCAUCCGGAACUGUCAAGCUAGAGUGCAGGAGAGGAAGGUAGAAUUCCCGGUGUAGCGGUGAAAUGCGUAGAGAUCGGGAGGAAUACCAGUGGCGAAGGCGGCCUUCUGGACUGACACUGACACUGAGGUGCGAAAGCGUGGGUAGCAAACAGGAUUAGAUACCCCAGUAGUC